UACAGAGGGCCCAAGCGUUGUUCGGAUUCAUUGGGCGUAAAGGGCUCGUAGGUGGUGCUGUAAGUCAGGUGUGAAAUCUCGGGGCUCAACCCCGAAACUGCACUUGAUACUGCAGUGCUGGAGGACUGGAGAGGAGAUCGGAAUUCAUGGUGUAGCAGUGAAAUGCGUAGAUAUCAUGAGGAAGACCGGUGGCGAAGGCGGAUCUCUGGACAGUUCCUGACACUGAGGCACGAAGGCUAGGGGAGCAAACGGG
rnacentral:rRNA from 1 species